rnacentral:sRNA from 1 species
UCCUAAACCUGACAGUAGCGGGUAUGAAGUGCAACGGAAUAAAGCGGAUGGCAGGGCUGUAU